rnacentral:rRNA from 1 species
GUACCGUGAGGGAAAGGUGAAAAGCACCCCGACGAGGGGAGUGAAACAGACCCUGAAACCGGACGCCUACAAGCAGUCGGAGCCGCCUUGCGCGGUGACGGCGUACCUUUUGUAUAAUGGGUCAGCGACUUUGUCUCUCGAGCAAGCUUAAGCCGAUAGGUGUAGGCGCAGCGAAAGCGAGUCUGAAUAGGGCGACGAGUUCGAGGGAUAAGACCCGAAACCGAGUGAUCUAGCCAUGUGCAGGUUGAAGGUGCGGUAACACGCACUGGAGGACCGAACCCACGUCUGUUGAAAAAGACGGGGAUGACGUGUGGCUAGGGGUGAAAGGCCAAUCAAACUCGGAGAUAGCUGGUUCUCCGCGAAAUCUAUUUAGGUAGAGCGUCUCGUAUUACCCUCGGGGGUAGAGCACUGGAUGGGCUAGGGGGUCCCAACGACUUACCAAACCUAACCAAACUCCGAAUACCGAGGAGUAGAGCGAGGCAGACACACUGCGGGUGCUAAGGUCCGUAGUGGAGAGGGAAACAGCCCUGACCGCCAGCUAAGGUCCCUAAGUUAUCACUAAGUGGGAAACGAUGUGGGAGUGCUUAGACAACCAGGAGGUUGGCUUAGAAGCAGCCAUCCUUUAAAGAAAGCGUA